rnacentral:tRNA from 1 species
GCGGGGAUAGCUCAGUUGGGAGAGCGUCAGACUGAAGUGACACUUCAUUCGUUAAUCUGAAGGUCGUGUGUUCGAUCCACACUCACCGCA